rfam:Dictyoglomus turgidum DSM 6724, complete genome.
GUUUCAAUCCCUUAUAGGUACGCUACAAAC